UGGGGAAUCUUAGACAAUGGGGGCAACCCUGAUCUAGCCAUGCCGCGUGAUCGAUGAAGGCCUUAGGGUUGUAAAGAUCUUUCAGCUGGGAAGAUAAUGACGUACCAGCAGAUGAGACUAACUCCGUGCCAGCAGCC
rnacentral:rRNA from 1 species